rnacentral:rRNA from 1 species
UACGUAGGGUGCAAGCGUUAUCCGGAAUUAUUGGGCGUAAAGAGCUCGUAGGCGGUCUGUUGCGUCGGCUGUGAAAACCCGGGGCUCAACCCCGGGCCUGCAGCCGAUACGGGCAGACUAGAGUUCGGUAGGGGAGACUGGAAUUCCUGGUGUAGCGGUGAAAUGCGCAGAUAUCAGGAGGAACACCGGUGGCGAAGGCGGGUCUCUGGGCCGAUACUGACGCUGAGGCACGAAAGCGUGGGGAGCAAACAGG